AACCAGCACCUCAAGUGGUCAGGAUGAUUAUUGGGCCUAAAGCAUCCGUAGCCGGCUCUGUAAGUUUUCGGUUAAAUCUGUACGCUUAACGUACAGGCUGCCGGGAAUACUGCAGAGCUAGGUAGUGGGAGAGGUAGACGGUACUCGGUAGGAAGGGGUAAAAUCCUUUGAUCUAUUGAUGACCACCUGUGGCGAAGGCGGUCUACCAGAACACGUACGACGGUGAGGGAUGAAAGCUGGGGGAGCAAACCGGAUUAGAUACCCGGGUAGUCCCAGCUGUAAACUAUGCAAACUCAGUGAUGCAUUGGCUUGUGGCCAAUGCAGUGCUGCAGGGAAGCCGUUAAGUUUGCCGCCUGGGAAGUACGUACGCAAGUAUGAAACUUAAAGGAAUUGGCGGGGGAGCACCACAAGGGGUGAAGCCUGCGGUUCAAUUGGAGUCAACGCCAGAAAUCUUACCCGGAGAGACAGCAGAAUGAAGGUCAAGCUGAAGACUUUACCAGACAAGCUGAGAGGUGGUGCAUGGCCGUCGCCAGCUCGUGCCGUGAGAUGUCCUGUUAAGUCAGGUAACGAGCGAGAUCCCUGCCUCUAGUUGCCACCAUUACUCUCAGGAGUAGUGGGGCGAAUUAGCGGGACCGCCGCAGUUAAUGCGGAGGAAGGGAGGGGCCACGGCAGGUCAGUAUGCCCCGAAACUCUGGGGCCACACGCGGGCUGCAAUGGUAACGACAAUGGGUUUCGAAUUCGAAAGGAUGAGGUAAUCCUCAAACGUUACCACAGUUAUGACUGAGGGCUGCAACUCGCCCUCACGAAUAUGGAAUCCCUAGUAACUGCGUGUCACUAUCGCGCGGUGAAUACGUCCCUGCUCCU
rnacentral:rRNA from 1 species